rnacentral:rRNA from 1 species
UAAGUCUUUACGGAGAAAGCUUUAUGCACCAUUGGAUGAGCCUGCACUUGAUUAGUUUGUUGGUGGGGUAAUGGCCUACCAAGACUGUGAUCAAUAGCUGAUUUGAGAGGAUGAUCAGCCACAUUGGGACUGAGACACGGCCCAAACUCCUACGGGAGGCAGCAGUGGGGAAUCUUGCACAAUGGAGGAAACUCUGAUGCAGCGAUGCCGCGUGAGUGAAGAAGGCCCUUGGGUUGUAAAGCUCUUUCGUCGGGGAAGAAAAUGACUGUACCCGAAUAAGAAGGUCCGGCUAACUUCGUGCCAGCAGCCGCGGUAAUACGAAGGGACCUAGCGUAGUUCGGAAUUACUGGGCUUAAAGAGUUCGUAGGUGGUUGAAAAAGUUAGUGGUGAAAUCCCAGAGCUUAACUCUGGAACUGCCAUUAAAACUUUUCAGCUAGAGUAUGAUAGAGGAAAGCAGAAUUUCUAGUGUAGAGGUGAAAUUCGUAGAUAUUAGAAAGAAUACCAAUUGCGAAGGCAGCUUUCUGGAUCAUUACUGACACUGAGGAACGAAAGCAUGGGUAGCGAAGAGGAUUAGAUACCCUCGUAGUCCAUGCCGUAAACGAUGUGUGUUAGACGUUGGAAAUUUAUUUUCAGUGUCGCAGGGAAACCGAUAAACACACCGCCUGGGGAGUACGACCGCAAGGUUAAAACUCAAAUGAAUUGACGGGGACCCGCACAAGUAGUGGAGCAUGUGGUUUAAUUCGAAGAUACGCGCAGAACCUUACCAACACUUGACAUGUUCGUCGCGACUCUAAGAGAUUAGAGUUUUCGGUUCGGCCGGACGAAAC